rfam:Colinus virginianus strain Texas jcf7180006227058, whole genome shotgun sequence.
GUGGGCUAUGGGGAUAUGAGACCUGUUACUGUAGGGGGUAAGAUUGUGGGUUCCUUGUGCGCCAUCGCUGGUGUGCUCACCAUCGCCCUGCCUGUCCCUGUUAUUGUGUCCAAC